rnacentral:lncRNA from 1 species
CCGCUUGAAAGAAAAACGAAAAGAGGGUCUACCAUGAAAUGAUAUAAAAAAUUAGAGUUCUAUAUGAAAUUUUCCCUAAAAUCAAAAAACCAUAAGCCAAGAAAGCAGGUAGUAGGCAGUGUGCCUAGGGGAGCUUAGGAAAAGACAACCCAUUAUAGUGGGUUUUGUGUAUAUUUAUGCAGAUGUACGGAAUGCCAUUACAUGUGAAAUAAAAAGCAACGGUCUUCCCCUUGACGACCAUGGGAAAUAAGUUCCAACAUCCAACUUGUCGAGACAUAUGAAUGAGAUAAACAAUGCACACUGUAGAAGACCACACAAAGCACAUAUAUCUAAUACUUAUAAAAAGAGGAAAAAGUUUGGCCAUAGGACUGUACAGAAGACCACACAAAGCACAUAUAGACUUCUAUGUAACCAGGAAGAGCUCACCAAAUUUCACACGGGAGGUUAUGCGGCAAAUAGAAAACCUUAGUUCAUGAAUUGCCCCAUAAAUGUGCCGAAGUAAAGAGUGCAGACAUAAUAGGGAGAACAAGAAUCUCGCAGUCCAAAAACUAAGUCUUAAUUUUCAAAAUAAAAUGAAAUAAAAAUAAAAAGAUAUUGCCCUAAAAUGUAACGAAACACUAAGAAAAUACAACAUAUGACAGGUUAUCAGGAGCCAUGAAAUUGAUGGUAAACCUGGCCGAAAAUCUACUUCCGUCGAUACUCACAAAAGAACAUCGAGAAAAAACCAGAUCACCCUCAUAAGUUGUCCAUUCCUUCCAUGAAAAAGAAAGAAUAACAUGAUUUUUCUUCCCCAUUUUAAUCCAGAAACAUAUAUUCCUUAUCAAAGAAGAAAACAAUCAACAAAUCAAGCAGGAAUAUAAAACGUUGCAUAUGAAACAAAACCGAAAUGCUUGUAACAGAAGCAUCAAGAAAGAUAAAGCAUGAAAGCAAGCAUAAAACCAAUCGUGAGUUCAGAAAGAAUAAAUAAAACCUAAAUUGUUAGAGAGAAGGAACAGAGCAAAGUACAAAUGAAAUAAAUAACAUGGUUCUAAAGAAAGAAAAAAGAAAAUAAAAUGAAUGUAGAGAGAGAAAAAAAUCCAAUUUCUGGAGAGCAGAAAAAAAACCGAAAUUGCUAGAGCAGGAUAUCCAUCAAGAAAAAGAAGUACGAGAGAGAAAAAAAAAACCAAAUGAAACUUAAAAUCAGAUAUAAAUAUUGGAUCUAGCAAGACUGUUACAAGUGAACUAAACUCCCGUUUGCAGUUCCCCAAAAUGAAAAACCCACAAUAACUUGUAACAUUCGAUCAAUAACAACCCCCCAAAAAAUUAAGGACUCUUCUGUAGAACAUUGAAGCAAAUACUUUUGAACAAUCACAGAUAAGCUUAAAAUACCUUCAUUGAUGACCCCUAAUAAACAAAAAAAAAGAAAAUCAAAGACCAAAGAUGCUCAAACCUGGUAAUGGCAGAAUAGAGGGCAGCGAUGGAAAGACGAUCGAUCUUCAGAAAACGUGCUAACAAUUGUGUUCAAUAUGAAGCACGAGAGAUGGUGGAUCAAUGGCGGUUUUUUUGCAGCUUCAAUCGUAUGGGAGAGAUCGGAGCUUGGUUUGGGUGUAACAAUGGCGGAGGAAAGUGGGGAAGAAAACCAGGUAGCUGUUGGGUAAAAGAGAAAGAGGCUACGAGCAACGCACAGCCGAAGAAACGCCUAAC